GGCAGCAAGUGUUCGGAGUGGACAUGGGGGCCAUGCAUCCCCAGCAGCAAGGACUGCGGCAUGGGUACCUGUGGGGUCCAGACCCAGCACAUUCAUUGCAAGGUGCCCUGCAACUGGAAGAAGGAAUUUGGAGCCAACUGCAAAUACAAGUUUGAGAGCUGGGGGACGUGUGAUGGGAGCACUGGCACCAAAGCCCGCCAAGGGACCUUGAAGGAGGUAUGGUACAAUGCCCAGUGCCAGGAGGCCAUCUGCAGUAUCAAGCCCUGCACCUCCAAGACCAAGUCAAAGACCAAAGCCAAGAAAGGAAAAAGAAAGGACUAA
rnacentral:lncRNA from 1 species